UUGAAACACCGGUUUCCUUUAGGAUCACCCAAGUUAAGCAACGUCGAGCCUGAUCAGUACCUAGAUGGGUGACCACAUGGGAAUGCCAGGUGCU